rnacentral:lncRNA from 1 species
CGGGUGGUCCGGGCGGCCUGGAGGCAGUGAAGUGAGGGCUUAGGAGGGUGCCUAGGGGCUCCCUGGGGGGUGAGAGGGCCCAGGGCUGCAGUCACGGACCUCUUCUGCAGGGUGCGACUGUGCCCCAUGUGGGACAGAGGCCUGCGACCCCCACAGCGGGCACUGCCUGUGCAAGGCGGGUGUGACUGGGCGGCGCUGUGACCGCUGUCAGGAGGGACAUUUUGGUUUUGAUGGCUGCGGGGGCUGCCGCCCGUGUGCUUGUGGACCGGCCGCCGAGGGCUCCGAGUGCCACCCCCAGAGCGGACAGUGCCACUGCCGACCAGGGACCAUGGGACCCCAGUGCCGCGAGUGUGCCCCUGGCUACUGGGGGCUCCCUGAGCAGGGCUGCAGGCGCUGCCACUGCCCUGGGGGCCGCUGUGACCCUCACACGGGCCGCUGCAACUGCCCCCCGGGGCUCAGCGGGGAGCGCUGCGACACCUGCAGCCAGCAGCAUCAGGUGCCUGUUCCAGGCGGGCCUGUGGGCCACAGCAUCCACUGUGAAG